rnacentral:rRNA from 1 species
CCUGACUGCUAUCGGAUUGAUACUAAGCCAUGCGAGUCUUUGCAGUAAUGCAAGGCGGACGGCUCAGUAACACGUAGUCAACUUACCCUAUGGACGAGGAUAAUCUCGGGAAACUGAGCAUAAUACUCGAUAGAUCAUAAUGCCUGGAACGGUUUAUGGUUGAAAUGAUUCGUCGCCAUAGGAUAGGACCGCGGCCUAUCAGCUUGUUGGUGAGGUAAUGGCCCACCAAGGCGAUUACAGGUACGGGCUCUGAGAGGAGAAGCCCGGAGAUGGGUACUGAGACAAGGACCCAGGCCCUAUGGGGCGCAGCAGGCGAGAAAACUUUGCAAUGUGCGAAAGCACGACAAGGUUAAUCCGAGUGAUUUCUGCUAAAGAAAUCUUUUGCAAGUCAUAAAACCACUAGUGAAUAAGGGGUGGGCAAGUUCUGGUGUCAGCCGCCGCGGUAAAACCAGCACCUCAAGUGGUCAGGAGGAUUAUUGGGCCUAAAGCAUCCGUAGCCGGCUCUGUAAGUUUUCGGUUAAAUCCAUGUGCUCAACGCAUGGGCUGUCGAAAAUACUGCAUAGCUAGGGAGUGGGAGAGGUAGACGGUACUCGGUAGGAAGGGGUAAAAUCCUUUGAUCUAUCGAUGACCACCUGUGGCGAAGGCGGUCUACCAGAACACGUUCGACGGUGAGGGAUGAAAGCUGGGGGAGCAAACCGGAUUAGAUACCCGGGUAGUCCCAGCUGUAAACGAUGCAGACUCGAUGAUGCAUUGGCAUAUAGCCAUUGCAGUGUCGCAGGGAAGCCGUUAAGUCUGCCGCCUGGGAAGUACGUACGCAAGUAUGAAACUUAAAGGAAUUGGCGGGGGAGCACCACAAGGGGUGAAGCCUGCGGUUC